GGGAGAGUAGCGAUAAUGGCAGGCGCGCCACUCGUAGAGCGACAAGCCCGUAGCCGGGAGGUGCCGAGAAUACGAGGGAGUGUGGUAGGCGACACAUUGCGGGUUCGACUCCCGCCUCUCCCG
rnacentral:tRNA from 2 species